UUGAUUUUUAUUUGUUACUUAUAUAUUAGCUACUAAUACAGGCAAAUAACUGUAUCAAAAUACCAGCUGAUGUUGGUCUCACACCAUCAUUAUUAUGAAAAAAAUCACCGUGACAUGCACAUGAGCAUAUAGAUGCAAAAAAGUUUCAGUUUUCUUGUUUUCCACCGUCUGUCUUCAUUUUUCUCUUUUCAAAAUAUACUAGUACUUAAGUAAAUAGUAAGUGUGCACGUGCAAUGCACGUCUUGUUAGAAUUCAAAAUUUAAAUACACAAAGUUUAUAUUUUCAUUUUAUGUAUGGCUAACUGUAAUCUUACAUGUGCAAUGAUGUGCAGUGCAUUCCACAUACUCUGCCAGUUUAAAUCUUGCUGAGAUCUACAACCACUUCGCAAACUUGUCUAGAGUAUUUGAGAUUGAUUUUGUGACCCAUGCAAUAAUCUUCAACAUCAAUAAUUCACCUAGUAUCUCAACAACUCUGUCAUCUGUUAAGGGCGCACGUGGUUCAUUCCGAGUGGUACGAAAAUGUUAAUUUGCGCUUUCCAUAUAAGCAUGCAUUAGUACUAGCAGAAUGAAUCAUAAUGUAGUUAUAGUGCAAAUGUUGUCUAAACGAACAAGACAAUGAUCUAGAAUAAUCAACGCGUCUAAGAAAAUAAAGUGUUGGUGGUGGUGGGUGGUAGGUACAUUCUCGUAAUUCUGAAGUAGCGCACACUUAAUCUGCAACAAACUUAAGAGAGGAAGAAACGCUAUGACUACUUCCUCUCAACUAAAAUGGUCCAAUUACCAACAUAAACAUCAUAUGUGACUUAAUAAUUUAAAUUGUGACCGCUAAGCUCAUAUUUCAAAAAUACUCCAAAUUUAAAAUUUAGGCAUUAACUUCAAAUUAACUCCAAAUUAUAAGCAUUAACUUUCUGAACAGAGUAUAGCUUUAGUGGCCUAAUAAUUUAAAUUUUAAGCAUUAAAUUCAAAUUAUUAAAAUAAGCGAGGUAAUUAUAGGUUAAUACUAUAAAAACCUUGAUGUUUGCUAAACGAACAUGAUUCCAAUGUAGCAAGAAUAUUUGAUAUGCUUAAAAAAAGGGAGAUGAUCAGAUAAGCAGAAAAUGUAAUUAGACAUUGUGUGAGGACACAUUUAAAAAUGAACACUAAAAUAGAAACUAGUUGCAAGCAAAAUAAGAAGUCUAACAUAAAGUACAAAAUGAAGACACACCUAAGCCGAAGCUCCUUGAUGUCAUUGAGCUCCUUGAUUUUCGAGGGUGCCGCAGCUCACCAUGUGUGUUGUUCCAACCUUUUUUGGAGUAAGAUAAGACAAGGAGAAACAUUGGACUUGCUUGAAGGUUGCAGCAAGCUGGAAUGAAUUCUAACUUCUUCACUUGAUGCAUCAUAUCUAGCUUAGCUUCAGUGUCUGAAAAAAUGACUUAGAAAUACGGAUAAUCUGGCAUUGGAAGAGCAAAGAUAUAUAACCUAAUAUCUUUCGACACUUGCAUAUAAAGGUUGAGGUAUCACCUGCAGAAAUUGCAACAUAUCAAUCACCAAAAAAACUCAAACAAAAAUCUGUUGUGAGUAACUAGAAAUCAUAAAAAAUAUCAAUAGUCCCAACAUAUAUAACCUGUGAACGGAAACCAUAGUGUAAAAUCAUAAUAUUAGGUAGGUCCUUUGGUGAGCACAUAGUCAAAAAAAGGUGAUCAAAAAAUUUAAAGGCCUUAGUAGAAUUUAAAGGUUGCACAAUUCUUGUGAAAUUAUGAAAGUAAUUUAUCAAUAAUCCAUAUUUGGUUUCCCGUUGCACCUUGUUAGACCAGGGACCAUAUAUGUCCGAGUCCAACAUCAUUCCAGAUGUUGUUCCCGACUAGUUUUAACUUUCUCUCAUCUACUACAACUCAUCUAUUGUAGGCCAGGAGUAUAAGUAUGAGCACAAAUAUGAAUUAAAAACAUUUCUUAUGCAUAGAGUAAUGCAUCGAGAUGCAGAAUAUAAAUAUUAAACAAUUAAUCGUAAAUAGAUAACUGAGUCAGGAUCACAAUUUAAUUCUUUAUUUUGAAAAUUUUAUCUGCUUCUGUUGAAUUGAAUACAAGGCUGGAACUGCAGGAGAGGGAAUUACAGGUAUAAAACUUGAAGAUGAAUCAGCCUCCUCCACGACAGCUUUCACCAAGUAGGAGGAGAUCCCCGUCUCCGAGGGCCAUACACGCGAAACACCCUCCACUCCAUGGUUUUCCUUACCUGCAAUUUUCCGCCACUGAUCAACCACCGUUACCAACAUGCAAAAACUCUUUUCAAUUGACGUGAAAUUAAAGCUUCUAGACUCUAGAGGUACCUCACAUGUGAAGAAUUGUGGCUUCUUAAUGGGGCAUGCCUGUCUCC
rnacentral:lncRNA from 1 species